GUGAUUGGUUAGGGCAUAGACCACCCCUUGACUGGAUUGACUGCCUUGGCUAUAUAAGCUAUUGUACCAACUGAAAUAAACGAGUCUGUAGGCUGCUUGCCUCUGGCCCGUUUUAACCCGACUCCCGGGGUCUGUGUGGUGACUCUGCGCCUCUUGCCCCCACCACGCUCCUCCUCUCAGAAAUGAAUCCACUGCAACAUCUGGCGUGCCAAUAUGACUGAGAGAGAGACUGCGUGUCGGACUCGGCAAGGUCCCCCUGGAUUUCGGUGGCCCUGUGACCCUCUGUGAGAUGCCCCAGCUGCAGCUGUCUGUGGAACUGUGACGUCAUCAGGUUUCACCCAGCCCUGAUGUCACUGGGCCCCUACCACUCACGGUCCUCUUGCCCUCAGGAAACACUCCCAGCACACCCGGCGUGGCAGGUGCACCCAUGAACUCGCACUCUCCUAGAAUCUUGGACUCACCCUUGUUGUGGGGAUGCGAGAUGGCACAGUGCCUGUGUGCUGAGGUGCGGUGGGGGGUCACAGAGGUGCUGUGAUGUAGCAGGUGGCUACUACGUAAGGGUCCUUGGACACAGGUUCUGUGAUAGCCCCACAGUCCAUCCGACGGCUGAGCCAGUGAGCAGGAGUCUAACAGGAGGGCAGCAUACACCCUGUGGACACGCUGCACAAGGGCAUGCGUCACAGCCAGGUGGGAUGGAGCCGGGCCACGUGAGAUGUCUUCAUCCGACUCUGAGGGACGUGCAAUUUAAAACCCAUGAAUUGUCUCUCCCUGGGAUUUCUCAUUUAACAUCUUCCGACGCUGGUUGAGUGUAGGGGAUUGAGAAUGUAGCAGAGAAGACUCCGAGUGAGCAGCUACCACUGUAGUCGGCAGCCGUGGCACUCUGGGCAAAACACUGCACGUCUCUGAGCGCCCGUCUCCCUCCACAAAAUGAGGAAGCAAACAUCUCUGGGAAAGGGCUUGAGAGCCGGCCAAGGGUCAGCAGGUGAACGCUCUUUCUCUCCUCGCCCGCCCUGGCAGCUUUUUCCCCUGGGCGAGGCUCCCGCAGGAGUUUAGGUAUCAGCUUCCGGCUUCAGAUGGGGAAGCGGAGGAGCGGGUCAUGUGAUGUCCGGGCAGACUUUGUCUUCAGCAGAGCGGCUGAUGAAAAUCAGGGCUCAAGAGCAAAUCACGGGUUGGGGACGCUCGUUUGCCUUCAGAAAGUCGUAAACUCUCCCGAUUCCUUUCAAACAUGGCUUCGUUUUCCUGCCACUUUGGGGUCAUAAUCCGAGCCAGGAGCUUCUUCCGGGUCUCCUACUUGUGUGCAGGGGCCUCAGGACUUGGGCUGUCUUCCACUGCCUUCCCAGGCCAUCAGCAGGGAGCCAGAUGGGAAGCAGGGCAACUGGGACUCGAACCAGUGCCCAUAUGGGAUGCCGGUGCUGAAGGCAGUGUCUUUACCCGCUACGCCACAGCGCUAGUGCCAAAAAGCAAAACUGUAAGAUAGAAGCCGCAGCACAGAUGAGAGGGAAGGGGAGACGGGCUGCA